rnacentral:rRNA from 1 species
CCUACGGGAGGCAGCAGUAGGGAAUAUUGCUCAAUGGGGGAAACCCUGAAGCAGCAACGCCGCGUGGAGGAUGAAGGUUUUCGGAUUGUAAACUCCUUUUGUUAGAGAAGAUAAUGACGGUAUCUAACGAAUAAGCACCGGCUAACUCGGUGCCAGCAGCCGCGGUAAUACGGAGGGUGCAAGCGUUACUCGGAAUCACUGGGCGUAAAGAGCGCGUAGGCGGGUUAGCAAGUCAGAGGUGAAAGCCUAUGGCUUAACCAUAGAACUGCAUUUGAAACUGUUAUUCUAGAGUAUGCGAGAGGUAGGUGGAAUUCUUGGUGUAGGGGUAAAAUGCGUAGAGAUCAAGAGGAAUACUCAUUGCGAAGGCGACCUGCUAGAACAUAACUGACGCUGAUGCGCGAAAGCGUGGGGAGCAAACAGGAUUAGAUACCCCAGUAGUC